GGAUGAACGCUAGCGGCAGGCCUACCCCAUGCAAGUCGAGGGGUAGAAGGAGCUUGCUCCUUUGAGACCGGCGCACGGGUGCGUAACGCGUAUGCAAUCUACCUUGUACAGGGGAAUAGCCCAGAGAAAUUUGGAUUAAUGCCCCAUAGUAUAUAACCUUCGCAUGUUGGUUAUAUUAAAGUUCCAACGGUACAAGAUGAGCAUGCGUCCCAUUAGUUAGUUGGUAAGGUAACGGCUUACCAAGACGAUGAUGGGUAGGGGUCCUGAGAGGGAGAUCCCCCACACUGGUACUGAGACACGGACCAGACUCCUACGGGAGGCAGCAGUGAGGAAUAUUGGUCAAUGGUCGCAAGACUGAACCAGCCAUGCCGCGUGCAGGAAGACGGUCCUAUGGAUUGUAAACUGCUUUUAUACAGGAAGAAACCCUCCCACGUGUGGGAGCUUGACGGUACUGUAGGAAUAAGGAUCGGCUAACUCCGUG
rnacentral:rRNA from 1 species